rnacentral:rRNA from 1 species
CACGUAGGGGGCGAGCGUUGUCCGGAUUUAUUGGGCGUAAAGAGCUCGUAGGCGGCUCAGUAAGUCGGGUGUGAAAACUCCAGGCUCAACCUGGAGACGCCACCUGAUACUGCCGGGCUAGAGUCCGGAAGAGGCGAGUGGAACUCCUGGUGUAGCGGUGGAAUGCGCAGAUAUCAGGAAGAACACCAACGGCGAAGGCAGCUCGCUGGGACGGUACUGACGCUGAGACGCGAAAGCGUGGGGAGCGAACAGG